CUAACAUGCGCGUGUGUCUGAUAUCGACGAUAUCGCGCUCUGUAACUUGCUUCCCGUCGAAUUAAUUUUAGGCAACAGAUUUACGAGGGAGAGUAAUGACUCAAUGCGCGAAGAACAAUUGACGAAUUGUCUUCGACGAUUAAGACGAAAUUUACGAAUGCUUACUGCGCACGAUUAUGCGAUACGACGCAACUGAAGCGAAUACCGCGAUGCGAUGUACGACUGAACGAAUGCGACUGAAUUAUCGUACGACGAUACGAAUGAUUAACGAUACACUCGUUCGCAAACGCGUGUCGGUGCGCAUUUGAACGACCCACACGAGACGGUUUACUAAUCGUUCGCUCACUAAAAUGAUACUUACCUUCGCGUAUGCUUGGAGAUACUGUUCACAACUGAAGAUUUCGCACAGGACUGUCCACAAGUCGUUACGCCUGAUGGAACGACUCUCGCUUGAAGAGCGCUGAGAGAUUGAAACGGUUCGUUACUCCACGUUUAGCGAUUCGAAGGCACGGAAGCUGACUCUCUCGUCGACAUUCACCAUUGAAAUACUCGAACGAGACUGCCGACACCGUUAUUAUACUCGGGCGGGCCCA